UGGGGAAUAUUGGACAAUGGAGGAAACUCUGAUCCAGCAAUUCUGUGUGUGUGAAGAAGGUUUUAGGACUGUAAAACACUUUUAGUAGGGAAGAAAAAAAUGACGGUACCUACAGAAGAAGCAACGGCUAAAUACGUGCCAGCAGCCGCGGUAAUACGUAUGUUGCGAGCGUUAUCCGGAAUUAUUGGGCUUAAAGGGUACGUAGGCGGUCUAUUAAGUCAGGUGUGAAAGCGUGAGGCUUAACCUCAUUAAGCACUUGAAACUGAUAGACUUGAGUGAAGGAGAGGAAAGUGGAAUUCCUAGUGUAGCGGUGAAAUGCGUAGAUAUUAGGAGGAAUACCGGUGGCGAAGGCGACUUUCUGGACUUUUACUGACGCUCAGGUACGAAAGCGUGGGGAGCAAACAGG
rnacentral:rRNA from 1 species